rnacentral:tRNA from 1 species
GGUAAAGUGGCUGAGCUAGGCAAUAAACUGUAAAUUUAUUUACGAAAUAAUCAUUUCCUUUACCA